rnacentral:lncRNA from 1 species
UAGGAUGGACUCCACCCUAAUUUUAGGACACAUGACCUCUCUUAAUAGUUGGCAGCCGUCACAUACAAAGCAGUCUAGCAGCUCUCGGCAAUUGGAGGAGGGGGCUGGAACGUAGCUGGCUGUAACGAUUUUUAAUUUUUUUUUCUCUUUGAAACCAUGCCUUUACAAUUUGAUUAUGGAUGAAUGAAAACCUAUUUUCCCUUUUCUUCAAAAAGAGAACGUUGAUUGAAGUGCUGCUGUAACCUUCAAUAUUUUUUUUUCUUCCAUAAA